rnacentral:rRNA from 1 species
AUUGAACGCUGGCGGAAUGCUUUACACAUGCAAGUCGAGCGGCAGCGCGGGGGCAACCCUGGCGGCGAGCGGCGAACGGGUGGGUAAUACAUCGGAACGUGUCCUUAAGUGGGGGAUAGCUCGGCGAAAGCCGGAUUAAUACCGCAUAAGCUCUGAGGAGGAAAGCGGGGGCUCCGUAAGGACCUCGCGCUGUUGGAGCGGCCGAUGUCGGAUUAGCUAGUUGGUGGGGUAAAGGCCCACCAAGGCGACGAUCCGUAGCUGGUCUGAGAGGAUGAUCAGCCACACUGGAACUGAGACACGGUCCAGACUCCUACGGGAGGCAGCAGUGGGGAAUAUUGCGCAAUGGGCGUAAGCCUGACGCAGCGACGCCGCGU